rnacentral:rRNA from 1 species
AACGAACGCUGGCGGCAGGCCUAACACAUGCAAGUCGAGCGGACCCUUCGGGGUUAGCGGCGGACGGGUGAGUAACGCGUGGGAAUAUGCCCUUCUCUACGGAAUAGUCCUGGGAAACUGGGGGUAAUACCGUAUACGCCCUUUGGGGGAAAGAUUUAUCGGGGAAGGAUUAGCCCGCGUUGGAUUAGGUAGUUGGUGGGGUAAUGGCCCACCAAGCCGACGAUCCAUAGCUGGUUUGAGAGGAUGAUCAGCCACACUGGGACUGAGACACGGCCCAGACUCCUACGGGAGGCAGCAGUGGGGAAUCUUAGACAAUGGGGGCAACCCUGAUCUAGCCAUGCCGCGUGAGUGAUGAAGGCCUUAGGGUUGUAAAGCUCUUUCAGCUGGGAAGAUAAUGACGGUACCAGCAGAAGAAGCCCCGGCUAACUCCGUG